CAAUUGUUACUUACUCUUAGAAGGAGGAAAAUGAAGAAAUUUUUCUUAUCUUCUUGAUUGCUGGAAGAUCACUUAACUUUAGUCUUCGUUAAGGCUGAGAUCUCACCGUGGACUUUGUGAAACUUUUGCAGAUGUGGGGUUAAGGAGCCUGGACCAGCCGGAGAGAAGGAAGUACACAUAGGGAGAAAUAUAUAUGGAAAGGAAAAAAGAAAUGCAAAUAAAUGAAAAACCUCCAAAAUCUGGACAGUUUCAUCCUGGGUAGAAAGAAGAAAGAGAAGGAACCUUGGAAGACACUAUGAGGAUGUGAUGUUUGCUACUGUGGCAGCCACCGUCGUGGGGUGACAAACACCACGGCGGAAGGCCAGUGCUCUGAGGAUGGGAGAAGAGAAGAAUGGUCAGAGCCGGAGUAUCUGAUGAUGUAACCAAGCCGUGGAAUGACCCCUGGAACC